rnacentral:rRNA from 1 species
UGGGGAAUUUUGGACAAUGGGCAAAGCCUGAAUCCCAGCAAUGCCGCGUGUGUGAAGAAGGCCUUCGGGUUGUAAAGCACUUUUGUCCGGAAAGAAAUCCUUGGCUCUAAUACAGUCGGGGGAUGACGGUACCGGAAGAAUAAGCACCGGCUAACUACGUGCCAGCAGCCGCGGUAAUACGUAGGGUGCAGGCGUUAAUCGGAAUUACUGGGCGUAAAGCUGCGCAGGCGGUUUGCUAAGACCGAUGUGAAAUCCCCGGGCUAACCUGGGAAACUGCAUUGGUGACUGGCAGGCUAGAGUAUGGCAGAGGGGGGUAGAAUUCCACGUGUAGCAGUGAAAUGCGUAGAGAUGUGGAGGAAUACCGAUGGCGAAGGCAGCCCCCUGGGCCAAUACUGACGCUCAUGCACG